AUCACAUAGUGCGAAAGACCUUUUUUAUAACCAGCAUUACACGUCUCUUAAGAUGUUUUGAACGUGUUUAAUAGAGAAAUUCAAUCACAUUAUUCCUAGCCUAUUGUGAGAUACCAAUUAAAAAAGAACAAAAAAGAACAAAAAAACUAAUUAAAAUGACGAAUGCAUUUUUUGAAUCAUAGCGUGCUAUGCGUGACUUACACGUUUUAAAUGUAUUUAUAUGCGUCAAUUGACAAAAGGAAAGUCAAAUAUUUGAAGUAAAUGAAUAAUCUUAGAUCAUGCUAGAAGAAACCCCUCAUAAACCAAUUAAUGCAGCUGAAUUCACAUAAUAAAAUCGAUAUCUAUAGAAUUUACAUUAAGAAUAGAGAAAAUAAUAUUUAAUGUACAAUUGAUUGAAUCACAUUAUUGCUAGCUCAUUGUGAAGCUAAGCGCACACCCCUCCCCCUUAGUGUAAAUAAUAUCGUUUGUGAAAGAAAAAAAAAUUUGUUUGUACCAUACUUAGGGCUUCCGUAUUUAGAUCUCGUAUAAUUACUCAGGGGACUUAAAUGUAAUUAUGUAAUAAAGGAAUGGGCAAAUAUGUAAUAAGUGAGGAGCCCUUAUUUUAUAAAAGGACUCCUCACCCUCACAAUUAGGGAAGGCCAAUUCUUAUGCCUAACACCUCAUCCUCUCAAAGCUCUAACUCUCAUUUAGAGCUCCCUCUCAUUCACAAUACUCUCAUAGAAAUACAAUAUCAGUGUGGACGUGGCCCAAACCUUGGGGUGAACCAUGAUACAUCUUGUGUUAUUUACAUUUCAUGCAGAUUCACGGUCAGAUUUAUGUUGUUCCAAGACCUCCGGUUUUGUGCAUCAACACAAUCAUUUCACAACUAAUUUAAUCACAUUAUUAUCCGCGUGCGAAAAACAUUUUUUAUAACCGGCAUUACACGCCUCUUAAGAUGUUUUGAACGUGUUUAAAAAUAAAGAAAAUAAUAUUUAAUAAACAACUGAUUGAAUCACAUUAUUGCUAGCCCCCUUAGUGUAGAUAAUAUCGUUUGUUAAAAAAAAUCAUUUGACAACUAAUUUAAUGUAAUUUAAUCACAUUAUUAUCUGCGUGCGAAUGAUCUUUUUUAUAACCGGCAUUACAUGCCUCUUAAGAUGUUUUGAACGUGUUUAAAAAUAGAGAAAAUAAUAUUUAAUAAACAACUGAUUGAAUCACAUUAUUGCUAGCACAUAGUAAGGCGAAGCCCACCCCCUCCCCCUUAGUGUAGAUAAUAUCGUUUGUUAAAAAUAAAAAAUCAUUUGGCAACUAAUUUAAUCACAUUAUUAUCUGCAUGUAAAAGACUUUUUUUUAUAACUGGUAUUACACGCCUCUUAAAAUAUUUUGAACAUGUUUAAAAUAGAGAAAAUAAUAUUUAAUAAAUAACUAAUUAAAUCACAUUAUUGCUAGCCCAUUGUGAGGCUAAACCCAC
rnacentral:lncRNA from 1 species